rnacentral:rRNA from 1 species
AGAGUUUGAUCCUGGCUCAGGAUGAACGCUAGCUACAGGCUUAACACAUGCAAGUCGAGCGGAACUACUUCGGUAGUUUAGCGGCAGACGGGUGAGUAACACGUAUCCAACCUUUCCCUCACUCGGGUAGUAGCCUCGGGAAACUGAGAGUAAUCCCCGAUGAAGUGUACGAGGAGCAUUUUUUGUCACACCAAAGAUUAAUCGGUGAGGGUGGGGAUGCGUUCCAUUAGCUGGUAGGCGGGGCAACGGCCCACCUAGGCGAUGAUGGAUAGGGGUUCUGAGAGGAAGGUCCCCCACACUGGAACUGAGACACGGUCCAGACUCCUACGGGAGGCAGCAGUGAGGAAUAUUGGUCAAUGGGCGCGAGCCUGAACCAGCCAAGUAGCGUGAAGGAUGACAGCCCUACGGGUUGUAAACCCCUUUUGCGCGGGGAUAAACCGGCGGACGCGUCCGCCGCUGCAGGUACCGCGCGAAUAAGGACCGGCUAAUUCCGUGCC